rnacentral:rRNA from 1 species
AGCGAACGCUGGCGGCAGGCUUAACACAUGCAAGUCGAGCGGGCCUUUCGGGGUCAGCGGCGGACGGGUGAGUAACGCGUGGGAACGUGCCUUCUGGUUCGGAAUAACCCUGGGAAACUAGGGCUAAUACCGGAUACGCCCUUAUGGGGAAAGGUUUACUGCCGGAAGAUCGGCCCGCGUCUGAUUAGCUAGUUGGUGGGGUAAUGGCCUACCAAGGCGACGAUCAGUAGCUGGUCUGAGAGGAUGAUCAGCCACACUGGGACUGAGACACGGCCCAGACCCCUACGGGAGGCAGCAGUGGGGAAUAUUGGACAAUGGGCGCAAGCCUGAUCCAGCCAUGCCGCGUGAGUGAUGAAGGCCUUAGGGUUGUAAAGCUCUUUUAUCCGGGACGAUAAUGACGGUACCGGAGGAAUAAGCCCCGGCUAACUUCGUGCCAGCCGCCGCAGUAAUAC